AGGUAGUAAUUUUUAAAAAAACCUUUUUAAAUCGGCGGCAUUUUAUCUUAUUAGAGGAAUUUGUUUUUAUUCGACAUGCCCCGUUAAAUUUAACUUAAAUUAAAAAUUUAUAUACCGCCAUAAUGAACCAUUUAACUAAUUAAUUCUUAAAAUAUUUAAAAUUUUAGGUAAAGGUGUAAUCAAUAUUUAAGAAAAAAUGAAUUACAAUUAACAUUAUUUAUGAAGUAAAUAAAAAAUUAUUAAAUAAAAAGGAUUUAGUUGUAAAAAUAUAAAAUAUUCUAUUUUGAAAAAGAAAAAAAAUGUGC
rnacentral:rRNA from 1 species